ensembl:snRNA U6 U6 spliceosomal RNA
GUGCUUGCUUUCGCAGCACAUAUACUAAAAUUGGAGCAAUACAGAGAAGAUUAGCAUGGGCCCCGUGCAACAAUGACACGCAGAUUCGUGAAGUCUUCCAUAUUUUU